UACGUAGGGUGCGAGCGUUAAUCGGAUUUACUGGGCGUAAAGGGGGCGUAGGCGGCCGUGAAAGUCCGGUGUGAAAUCCCUGGGCUCAACCUAGGAAUUGCGCUUGUGACUGGCGGGCUCGAGUACGGUAGAGGGGGGUGGAAUUCCUGGUGUAGCAGUGAAAUGCGUAGAGAUCAGGAGGAACACCGAUGGCGAAGGCAGCCCCCUGGGCCUGUACUGACGCUCAUGCACGAAAGCGUGGGGAGCAAACAGG
rnacentral:rRNA from 1 species